rnacentral:rRNA from 1 species
AACGAACGCUGGCGGCAUGCCUAACACAUGCAAGUCGAACGAUGCUUUCGGGCAUAGUGGCGCACGGGUGCGUAACGCGUGGGAAUCUGCCCUUGGGUUCGGAAUAACAGUGAGAAAUUGCUGCUAAUACCGGAUGAUGUCUUAGGACAAAAGAUUUAUCGCCCCGGGAUGAGCGCGCGUAGGUUUAGCUAGUUGGUGGGGUAAUGGCCUACCAAGGCUACGAUCGUUAGCUGGUCUGAGAGGAUGAUCGGCCACACUGGGACUGAGAGAAGGCCCAGACUCCUACGGGAGGAAGCAGGGGGGAAUAUUGUACAAUGGGAGGAAGCCUGAUGAAGCAACGCCGUGUGAGGGAUGACGGCCUUCGGGUUGGAAACAGCUUUCGCCUGUGACGAAGCGUGAGUGACGGUAAUGGGUAAAGAAGAACCGGCUAACUACGUG